GGUGCUUCUCAGCGACCCUUCUAGACAAGAGAGAAGUCAGGAGAGCUGGGAGGGAGAAAGAAAGGUGGCCUGGAAGCAUCCGAGUGACCCGAGGAGGGCAGUGUCCUCAUCUGGGUCGUUCCAGCUGUACGUCCGGAGCAACGUCUGGAGCCAUUUAUACGGGCUCUCGGGAAACAUUUGUUGAACCAGUGGAUGAAAAUAUCGUUAAUUUGUAGUUUA